GUUCAUUUUCAUCACAACACAAUAAUGAUCACAGCUGGUCUGAUCAAACUCUCUGCUCUGCUCUGGAUUGUAGGUCUAACUGAUGGGAGUGAUGUCACCCAGACCUCUCUGCUGUGGAGGGUCGAGAAUCAAUCCGCCACAAUGAACUGCAGUCACACUAAGGACAUCUCACAUCGACAGAUGUACUGGUACAGACAGCUACCAGGGGAGAGAAUGAAACAGAUAGUUUACACGACUACAAGUCCUCCUCAUACGUAUGAAAGUGGCUUCAGUCAGGACAGAUUUCCUGCAACAAAGAGUGAUGCUCUGUCUGGAUCUUUGACGGUGGAGAAGCUGCUGCCUGGGGACAGCGGAGUGUAUUUCUGUGCUGUGAGUCAACACAGUGAUACAGGUGACUUAGACAGCUGCACAAAUACUCAUGUGAAUAGAAGAUAACUGUUUCUUUGAUGCACUACAGAGGGAGCUCUGCACCAACACUGAUGUCUGUUACUAUCGCUGCACU